ensembl:snRNA Gm23733 predicted gene, 23733
GUGUUUCUUCGGCAGCACAUAUACUAAAAUUAGAACUAUACAGAGAAGAUUAGCAUGGCCCCUGCACAAGGAUGACACACAAAUUCAUGAAGCAUUCCGUAUUUUU